rnacentral:piRNA from 1 species
UCUGUAUCUCUGGGCCAAGAGUGUCAC